rnacentral:ncRNA from 1 species
UCAUUCAAGUGUCUGCCCUAUCAACUUUCGUCGGUACGGUAUUUGCCUACCGAGGUUCUUACGGGUGACGGGGAAUCAGGGUUCGAUUCCGGAGAGGGAGCCUGAGAAACGGCUACCACAUCCAAGGAAGGCAGCAGGCGCGCAAAUUACCCAUUCCCGACGCGGGGAGGUAGUGACGAAAAAUAACAAUGCAGGACUCGUUCGAGGCCCUGUAAUUGGAAUGAGUACACUUUAAAAGCUUUAACGAGUAUCCAUUGGAGGGCAAGUCUGGUGCCAGCAGCCGCGGUAAUUCCAGCUCCAAAAGUAUAUAUUUAAGUUGUUGCGGUUAAAAAGCUCGUAGUUGGAUUUUGGGCGCAGGCGGCCGGUCCGUCGCAAGGCGUGUACUGGACGUCCUGGCCUUCCCUCCGGUUCUCCGCCGGUGCUCUUGACUGAGUGUCGGCGGCGGCCGGAACGUUUACUUUGAAAAAAUUAGAGUGUUCAAAGCAGGCUCUCGAGCCUGGAUAAUGGUGCAUGGAAUAAUGGAAUAGGACCUCGGUUCUAUUUUGUUGGUUUUCGGAGCGCGAGGUAAUGAUUAAGAGGGACAGACGGGGGCAUUCGUACUGUGCCGUUAGAGGUGAAAUUCUUGGAUCGGCGCAAGACGAACGACUGCGAAAGCAUUUGCCAAGAAUGUUUUCUUUAAUCAAGAGCGAAAAUUUUUACCCACCCAUCAUGACAUUUUACUAUACUAGUUCUG